GACUACCCUGUAGUCCUGGCCGUAAACGAUGUGGACUUGGUGUUGGAAUGGCUCCGAGCUGCUCCAGUGCCGAAGGGAAGCUGUUAAGUCCACCGCCUGGGAAGUACGGUCGCAAGACUAGAAACUUAAAGGAAUUGGCGGGGGAGCACCGCAACGGGAGGAGCGUGCGGUUCAAUUGGAUUCAACGCCGGACAACUCACCAGGAGCGACGGUUACAUGAAGGCCAGGCUGAUGACCUUGCCUGAUUUUCCG
rnacentral:rRNA from 1 species